GGUCAUUAAAGAAAGGCAGGAGAGAACUUUUGAUGCUGCUUUUCAGGCAUCCCAUUCAGUAGCAGCAGAGAACAAGAAAAUCCAACAAGGAAACAGCGUAGUACACGUUAACAGCUUUAAUUGGAGAACGGUUCUGCUUUUUUUUUUCCCCCAAGCAGCGAGAGGAAAAGAUCCUUUGACCGAGUCAUGUGAUACUCAUCACGUGACUUGCAGUGACCCGCGGAAAGGGAAGAGGAGGAAAAAAAAAAAAAAAAAAAAGCAAACAUUCCUGCCACCAGCGUUUGGGCUAUAGUAAAUGAUUAAAUGGUUUUUACUGCUGCCACCUCGAAUUUGAGGAUCUUUCAGACUUCCUCCUGAAGUAACUCAAAAGCUCAUUAAAAUUCACAUACAGAAAUACA